GCCUGGAUAGCUCAGUUGGUUAGAGCAAGGGACUAAUAAUGCCAACGUUGUAAGUUCGAUCCCUGCAUAUUCCUGUAUUGCA